CUUUCUUAAGUCACCCCGCCUCGCAAGAUGGCUGCGGUGCUGCCGGGCCCGGAGCCGUGGAACCGUGUGAGAAUCCCUAGGGCGGGGAACCGCAGCGCAGUGACAGUGCAGAACCCCGGCGCGGCCCUUGACCUUUGCAUUGCAGGUGUAAUUAAAGAAUGCCAUCUCGUCACACUGUCGCUGAAGAGCCAAACCUUAGAUGCAGAAACAGAUGUGUUAUGUGCAGUACUUUACAGCAACCACAACAGAAUGGGCCACCACAAACCCCAUUUGGCCCUCAAACAGGUUGAGCAAUGUUUAAAGCGUUUGAAAAGCAUGAAUUUGGAGGGUUCAAUUCAAGACCUGUUUGAGUUGUUUUCUUCCAAUGAAAAUCAGCCCUUAACUACCAAAGUGUGUGUUGUCCCCAGUCAGCCAGUGGUGGAGUUGGUGUUGAUGAAGGUUGAUUUUGUUAUAUGAGCCUUUGUUUGGACUGCUUCAAGAGGUCGCUAGGAUUCAACCAAUGCCUUACUUCAAAGAUUUUACCUUUCCUUCUGAUAUCACUGAAUUUUUAGGACAG
rnacentral:sRNA from 1 species